rnacentral:lncRNA from 1 species
AUGAAAAACAGGAAAACAUGUAGUAGCCCAACCAAAGGCAGGCAGAACCAGAGUGAGCAUUCCAUAGUUGCAGUAGAUACUUCUUGGACCUCACUCAAGGGUAACAUAAAAUUAUAUCUAUUCAUUCUGCUCCCCAUUAGUCAGUUGACUCCCUAGAAGUAAGAAAUUCCAGAUAUUCCACAAGUAGAUUUUGAACAUCAUAAUUUUGCCAAUAAUUAGGCCCAUCAGUUCUGUGCAUUUUGUUCUUCAUUAGGAAUCAGGUACCCCCGGAGCAACAAAACCACAGAAAACAUACUAGCUGCUUUCAAUUCAUUAAACAAGAGAGCUAGGGUGCCUGGGUGGCUCAUUUGGUUAAGCGUCUGCCUUACACUCAGGUCUUGAUCUCAGGACCCAUGUCAAGCUUCCUUGCUCAAUGGGGAGCUUGCUUCUCCCUCUACCCCCUGCUCAUACACGCAAAUUCACACACUCUAUCUCUUGCUAUCUUUCUCUAAUAAAAUCUUUUUAAAAAAUUUUUAAAACAAGAGAUAUGAACUCAUACACAGUGUAUCUGUGAGAAAGCCAAAGUCAAAUACACAACCUGGAGGAAGCAGUCCCUUCCUUUCUUGGCAAUGCCCUAACAAAAGGUUAUGAUGUAUUGAAAAAGAGAAAUCUAAGAGCCUUUCGUAGACAAUGAAACUCAUUCCCCAGGCUCAACUUAGCCUGCAAUUCUAAUCAGUGGUAAUGUCAAAGUAGUAAGCUGAGUAACUGUUUAACUUAAAAUGUUAAUAUUAUUUAGGUACCUUUCAAAGAUAUAAUGAGAAUCAAUAUAAAAACUUGACAGAUUUACCAAAAAUAUUUCUUAUAUCUACUCUCAGGAGGAAGGGAAGAUAUUUAGAAAUAGAAACACCAUAUUAGCUUCACGUCAGAAUCUUUAAAAGUAUUACUGUCCCCUACAGCACAUUAUGACAUUCCUAGAAACUGUCCCAACCUCUACUAAAAUUUAAUUAUGAAAUGCAGAUUCUAAAGCCUAGAAAUAUACUAAUUUUUUCUAAAAUAGCACCCAUUUAUAUGUAUUAUAAAUGGCAAUAAAAUUUGUUUUUCUAAACAGAUAACAGAUUGCAUUAUCAUUCCUUUAUAAUUACUGACUUCACUUAUUAAAAAUGUGAGAGAGGGCAACUUUUAAGUUCCUGAAUCCUACUGAAUUUUAUAUCCCUUUCACCCACAAAAUAAGAAUUUUUAUCUACAUAAGAUAUAACACCAGAAUAAUAGGAAUAACGUGAGAACAAUCUACAGUGCUGACAUUAAAGGAUGAAGCCCUGCUAGGAUUAAUUUGUACAGCUCUAGUCAUAUUUCUCAGUAAGCCGUGCCCUAUACUUAUCUGGGGAAAAAAAAUACAGAGAUUUAAAAUCACAAUAUUAAAGAAAUAUUUAACUUUCUGUGUAUGACCAAAAUCAGUUUAAAUCAAAAUUUCAGUUAUCAAUUAGCAGCCAAAAUUUUAGAGAUGCUACCUUCUAAGACAAUAAUAGUUUGGAUAAGGUAUUUUUUUUAACUUGCAAUAAAUUAAUCACCAUCUUCUCUUAGUGUAAAAAAUUCAACUUAGGGCAGCCCGGGUGGCUCAGUUUGGUGCCUGCCUUCAGCCCAGGGCCUGAUCCUGGAGACCCAGGAUCGAGUCCCACGUCGGGCUCCCUGUGUGGAGCCUGCUUCUCCCUCUGCCUGUGUCUCUGCGCCUCUCUCUCUCUGUGUGUGUCUCUCAUGAAUAAAUAAAUAAAAUCUUAAAAAAAAAAUUCAACUUAAUCCUACUCAAAAUAAGGCACAAGAAAGCUACAUUCUGAAUUUGCAAAAGUAGAUUUUUUUUAGUCCUUAAAUGUAAGCAAUAACAAGUUUUUUACCAUAAAUAUGCAAAACUAUGUUGCAAAGUCAUAUUUUAUUAUGAAAGCCAGAUUUUAUGAAAAUACCUUUGAGUCUAUUUCCAAGUAAAACAUCUAAAAGUCAACUUAUUGGUACCGCCUUAAAAUAAGAUGCAUCUGAGAUUAUCUUCAAGGAAUAAGUGAUUGAGAUAAGAAACAUGUUGCCAGGCAGCCCCGGUGGCUUAGUGGUUUAGCGCCGCCUUCAGCCCAGGGCAUGAUCCUGGAGACCCAGGAUUGAGUCCCACGUCGGGUUCCCUGCAUGGAGCCUGCUUCUCCCUCUGCCUGUGUCUCUGCCUCUUUCUCUGUGUCUCUCAUGAAUAAAUACAAAUCUUUUAUAAAUAAAUGAAUAAAUAAAUAAAUAAAUAAAUGUAUGUAUGUAUGUUCAGAUAUGA